rnacentral:rRNA from 1 species
CCUACGGGUGGCUGCAGUGAGGAAUAUUGGUCAAUGGACGAGAGUCUGAACCAGCCAAGUAGCGUGAAGGAUGACUGCCCUAUGGGUUGUAAACUUCUUUUAUAAAGGAAUAAAACGAGGCACGUGUGCCUUUUUGCAUGUACUUUAUGAAUAAGGAUCGGCUAACUCCGUGCCAGCAGCCGCGGUAAUACGGAGGAUCCGAGCGUUAUCCGGAUUUAUUGGGUUGAAAGGGAGCGUAGAUGGGUUGUUAAGUCAGUUGUGAAAGUUUGCGGCUCAACCGUAAAAUUGCAAUUGAUACUGGCAGUCUUGAGUACAGUUGAGGUAAGCGGAAUUCGUGGUGUAGCGGUGAAAUGCUUAGAUAUCACGAAGAACCCCGAUUGCGAAGGCAGCCGGCCAAGCCAUGACUGACGCUGAUGCACGAAAGCGUGGGGAUCAAACAGGAUUAAUACCCCUGUAGUC